rnacentral:sRNA from 1 species
GGCGCACGCCCUCGAUGGGCAUCUCCUCCCAAGACUUCGGGCCGCUCCGCAAGGACGGCUUUUCCUUUUGCCCUAC